rnacentral:rRNA from 1 species
UACGAAGGGGGCUAGCGAUGUUCGGAAUUACUGGGGGUAAAGCGCUAGUAGGUUGAUGAGAAAGUUAGAUGUGAAAGCCCAGGGCUCAACCUUGGAAUUGCAUUUAAAACUACUCAUCUAGAGUCAGCUAGGGGAUGAUGGAAUUCCAUGUGUAGCGGUGAAAUGCGUAGAUAUAUGGAGGAACACCAGAGGCGAAGGCGAUCAUCUGGGGCUGUACUGACACUGAGGAGCGAAAGCGUGGGGAGCAAACAGG